rnacentral:rRNA from 1 species
AACGAACGCUGGCGGCAUGCCUAACACAUGCAAGUCGAACGAGACCUUCGGGUCUAGUGGCGCACGGGUGCGUAACGCGUGGGAAUCUGCCCUUGGGUUCGGAAUAACAGUUGGAAACGACUGCUAAUACCGGAUGAUGACGUAAGUCCAAAGAUUUAUCGCCCAAGGAUGAGCCCGCGUAGGAUUAGCUAGUUGGUGAGGUAAAGGCUCACCAAGGCGACGAUCCUUAGCUGGUCUGAGAGGAUGAUCAGCCACACUGGGACUGAGACACGGCCCAGACUCCUACGGGAGGCAGCAGUGGGGAAUAUUGUACAAUGGGCGAAAGCCUGAUCCAGCAAUGCCGCGUGAGUGAUGAAGGCCUUAGGGUUGUAAAGCUCUUUUACCCGGGAUGAUAAUGACAGUACCGGGAGAAUAAGCACCGGCUAACUCCGUG